AUUGAACGCUGGCGGCAUGCCUUACACAUGCAAGUCGAACGGCAGCACGGGUGCUUGCACCUGGUGGCGAGUGGCGAACGGGUGAGUAAUACAUCGGAACAUGUCCUGUAGUGGGGGAUAGCCCGGCGAAAGCCGGAUUAAUACCGCAUACGAUCUACGGAUGAAAGCGGGGGACCUUCGGGCCUCGCGCUAUAGGGUUGGCCGAUGGCUGAUUAGCUAGUUGGUGGGGUAAAGGCCUACCAAGGCGACGAUCAGCAGCUGGUCUGAGAGGACGACCAGCCACACUGGGACUGAGACACGGCCCAGACUCCUACGGGAGGCAGCAGUGGGGAAUUUUGGACAAUGGGCGAAAGCCUGAUCCAGCAAUGCCGCGUGUGUGAAGAAGGCCUUCGGGUUGUAAAGCACUUUUGUUCGGAAAGAAAUCCUUGGCCCUAAUACGGUCGGGGGAUGACGGUACCGGAAGAAUAAGCACCGGCUAACUACGUG
rnacentral:rRNA from 1 species